rnacentral:tRNA from 1 species
GCCUUCUUAGCUCAGUGGUAGAGCGCGUCACUAGUAAUGACGAGGUCCUCUGUUCGAUCCAGGGAGGAGGCA